UACGGAGGGUGCAAGCGUUAUCCGGAUUCACUGGGCUUAAAGGGUGCGUAGGUGGGCAGGUAAGUCAGUGGUGAAAUCUCCGGGCUUAACCCGGAAACUGCCGUUGAUACUAUUUGUCUUGAAUAUAGUGGAGGUGAGCGGAAUAUGUCAUGUAGCGGUGAAAUGCUUAGAUAUGACAUAGAACAUCGAUUGCGAAGGCAGCUCGCUACACUAUUAUUGACAUUGAGGCACGAAAGCGUGGGGAUCAAACAGG
rnacentral:rRNA from 1 species